rnacentral:rRNA from 1 species
AAUCCAUAGGUUAAUGAGGCGAACCGGGGGAACUGAAACAUCUAAGUACCCCGAGGAAAAGAAAUCAACCGAGAUUCCCCCAGUAGCGGCGAGCGAACGGGGAGGAGCCCAGAGCCUGAAUCAGCAUGUGUGUUAGUGGAAGCGUCUGGAAAGGCGCGCGAUACAGGGUGACAGCCCCGUACACAAAAGCGCAUGUGCUGUGAGCUCGAUGAGUAGGGCGGGACACGUGGUAUCCUGUCUGAAUAUGGGGGGACCAUCCUCCAAGGCUAAAUACUCCUGACUGACCGAUAGUGAACCAGUACCGUGAGGGAAAGGCGAAAAGAACCCCGGCGAGGGGAGUGAAAAAGAACCUGAAACCGUGUACGUACAAGCAGUGGGAGCACCCUUUUGGGUGUGACUGCGUACCUUUUGUAUAAUGGGUCAGCGACUUAUAUUCUGUAGCAAGGUUAACCGCAUAGGGGAGCCGGAGGGAAACCGAGUCUUAAUUGGGCGUUAAGUUGCAGGGUAUAGACCCGAAACCCGGUGAUCUAGCCAUGGGCAGGUUGAAGGUUGGGUAACACUAACUGGAGGACCGAACCGACUAAUGUUGAAAAAUUAGCGGAUGACCUGUGGCUGGGGGUGAAAGGCCAAUCAAACCGGGAGAUAGCUGGUUCUCCCCGAAAGCUAUUUAGGUAGCGCCUCGUGAAUUCAUCUCCGGGGGUAGAGCACUGUUUCGGCUAGGGGGCCAUCCCGGCUUACCAACCCGAUGCAAACUGCGAAUACCGGAGAAUGUUAUCACGGGAGACACACGGCGGGUGCUAACGUCCGUCGUGAAGAGGGAAACAACCCAGACCGCCAGCUAAGGUCCCAAAGUCAUGGUUAAGUGGGAAACGAUGUGGGAAGGCCCAGACAGCCAGGAUGUUGGCUUAGAAGCAGCCAUCAUUUAAAGAAAGCGUAAUAGCUCACUGGUCGAGUCGGCCUGCGCGGAAGAUGUAACGGGGCUAAACCAUGCACCGAAGCUGCGGCAGCGACGCUUAUGCGUUGUUGGGUAGGGGAGCGUUCUGUAAGCCUGCGAAGGUGGCCUGUGAGGGUUGCUGGAGGUAUCAGAAGUGCGAAUGCUGACAUAAGUAACGAUAAAGCGGGUGAAAAGCCCGCUCGCCGGAAGACCAAGGGUUCCUGUCCAACGUUAAUCGGGGCAGGGUGAGUCGACCCCUAAGGCGAGGCCGAAAGGCGUAGUCGAUGGGAAACGGGUUAAUAUUCCCGUACUUGGUGUUACUGCGAAGGGGGGACGGAGAAGGCUAUGUUGGCCGGGCGACGGUUGUCCCGGUUUAAGCGUGUAGGUGUGUGUUCCAGGUAAAUCCGGUUCACUUUAACACUGAGGCGUGACGACGAGGCACUACGGUGCUGAAGCAACAAAUGCCCUGCUUCCAGGAAAAGCCUCUAAGCAUCAGGUAACAUCAAAUCGUACCCCAAACCGACACAGGUGGUCAGGUAGAGAAUACCAAGGCGCUUGAGAGAACUCGGGUGAAGGAACUAGGCAAAAUGGUGCCGUAACUUCGGGAGAAGGCACGCUGACACGUAGGUGAAGUGAUUUACUCAUGGAGCUGAAGUCAGUCGAAGAUACCAGCUGGCUGCAACUGUUUAUUAAAAACACAGCACUGUGCAAACACGAAAGUGGACGUAUACGGUGUGACGCCUGCCCGGUGCCGGAAGGUUAAUUGAUGGGGUCAGCGCAAGCGAAGCUCCUGAUCGAAGCCCCGGUAAACGGCGGCCGUAACUAUAACGGUCCUAAGGUAGCGAAAUUCCUUGUCGGGUAAGUUCCGACCUGCACGAAUGGCGUAAUGAUGGCCAGGCUGUCUCCACCCGAGACUCAGUGAAAUUGAACUCGCUGUGAAGAUGCAGUGUACCCGCGGCAAGACGGAAAGACCCCGUGAACCUUUACUAUAGCUUGACACUGAACAUUGAGCCUUGAUGUGUAGGAUAGGUGGGAGGCUUUGAAGCGUGGACGCCAGUCUGCGUGGAGCCGACCUUGAAAUACCACCCUUUAAUGUUUGAUGUUCUAACGUGGACCCGUUACCCGGGUUGCGGACAGUGUCUGGUGGGUAGUUUGACUGGGGCGGUCUCCUCCUAAAGAGUAACGGAGGAGCACGAAGGUUGGCUAAUCCUGGUCGGACAUCAGGAGGUUAGUGCAAUGGCAUAAGCCAGCUUGACUGCGAGCGUGACGGCGCGAGCAGGUGCGAAAGCAGGUCAUAGUGAUCCGGUGGUUCUGAAUGGAAGGGCCAUCGCUCAACGGAUAAAAGGUACUCCGGGGAUAACAGGCUGAUACCGCCCAAGAGUUCAUAUCGACGGCGGUGUUUGGCACCUCGAUGUCGGCUCAUCACAUCCUGGGGCUGAAGUAGGUCCCAAGGGUAUGGCUGUUCGCCAUUUAAAGUGGUACGCGAGCUGGGUUUAGAACGUCGUGAGACAGUUCGGUCCCUAUCUGCCGUGGGCGCUGGAGAACUGAGGGGGGCUGCUCCUAGUACGAGAGGACCGGAGUGGACGCAUCACUGGUGUUCGGGUUGUCAUGCCAAUGGCACUGCCCGGUAGCUAAAUGCGGAAGAGAUAAGUGCUGAAAGCAUCUAAGCACGAAACUUGCCCCGA